GGGCGUGCCCGCGGCGGCUCCUCCCCCUGGGCUCCCCCCCGGCCUGGGAGCCCGAGCGCGGGUGGGAGCGAGCGAGCGAGCGAGUUCUCCUUCCUCCUCCCUCUCUCCCGUCGUCCGCUCUGGGCUGGGGCGGCGGCGCCCGAGCGGUUCCCUCGCGAGCCGGUGCGGACCCCGCGGCUGGGGGAGGAGGAGGAGCGGCGGGGCCGGGCGGAGACGCUUGCGGGCUCCGCGCAGGCGGCCCGGCCAAUCAGCGGCCGGAGGCGACGGUUGCGCGUUUCCCCCGCCCCCGGGGCCGCCUCCCGGGGAGGCCACGCCCAGCUGCUCCGCCGCCGCCUCCCUCUCCCGGCGGCUCCCGCGCGGUCCUAACCUCGGGGCCUGCGGCUUAGGAAUUCUGGAAAAGACAGCGAGAAGGCAGAGUCAGCUCUGGUCCACUCCCUGA
rnacentral:lncRNA from 12 species